UUUUGGACAAUGGGCGCAAGCCUGAUCCAGCAAUGCCGCGUGCAGGAAGAAGGCCUUCGGGUUGUAAACUGCUUUUGUACGGAACGACCCGCCCCCUGGUUAAUACCUGGGGCUAAUGACGGUACCGUAAGAAUAAGCACCGGCUAACUACGUGCCAGCAGCCGCGGUCAUACGGAGGAUCCAAGCGUUAUCCGGAGUGACUGGGCGUAAAGAGUUGCGUAGGUGGUUAUGUAAGUGAAUAGUGAAACCUGGUGGCUCAACCAUACAGACUAUUAUUCAAACUGCAUAACUCGAGAAUGGUAGAGGUAGCUGGAAUUUCUAGUGUAGGAGUGAAAUCCGUAGAUAUUAGAAGGAACACCAAUGGCGUAGGCAGGCUACGGACCAUUUCUACAUAAGGCACGAA
rnacentral:rRNA from 1 species